GGGGAAGUGGCGAAAUUGGAAUACGCGCAAGAUUUAGGAUAUUGUGUCUUCGGGCGUAUGGGUUCGAGUCCCAUCUUCCCCACCA
rnacentral:tRNA from 1 species